CUGGGGUGCGGGAGGAGGUGGGAGGGUGAGGCUGUGGCCAGCAGGAGCCAGGCCUCAGGGUGCCAGCCUGGACCAGGAGCAUGUGCUGGGGGCUUGCUUUCCGCAAUCAGGCACUUUUUCAAGUUGGUCCUGAACGGUUCUGGACUGGAUGGCAGGCUGCUGUGUGUGAUUGAGAAUGUUGCCUGUCUGAGCCCUGAGAUGAGCUGAGGGUUCCUCCUCCCCAGCCAGCACCAGCCUCACACAGCCCUUGUAAAUCUGAAAGUGCUGUUGGUAGCAACCAGGGAUGGGCAGAGGCAGCCCUGUCCUGAGGGUGACAUGAAAGUGAGAGCAAGCUGAAGCUCCAGUUGGCUUAGUCUUCAAAAGUGUCACUUUCAGAUUAUAUCCCUCAGCUUUAAAAUAUCCUUCUUUGAAGUCCAUCCUGCUCUGCCCACUAUUUGUCCCCGGUGGUCACUUCCUCCUCUGUGCUCCCGUGGCCUGGGAUUCACACCAGGAAAGAACGCCACGAAGAAGGAAUGGGUGAAGGACUUUAGUACGAUGGUCAAGACAAGAACCGUGGAGUCAGAAUGCCUGCAUGCAGAUCUCAUCACCAUGGAGUCUCGCUCUGUUGCCCAGGCUGGAGUGCAGGGGUGUGAUCUCAGUUCGCUGCAACCUCUGCCUCCCAGGUUCAAGUGAUUCUUCUGCCUCAUCCUCCUGAGUCGCUGGGAUUACAGGUGUGAGGUAUCAUGCCUGGCCCAAGAUUUACUUUAUUUGAUAUUAAUAUAGCCACAUCUGCUUACUUUUAAAAUUAAUGUCUGCAUGGCAUAUUAUUGCUAUUCCUUAAUUUCCAAUUUACCUCUAUCAUUAUAGCUUACCCACUGAUGUAGCUUUAGCAGCUGCUGUCCCAGUUCUCAAAUAUCCAGGCUAGCUUGGUGGCCCCUUUAUCCAUGGGUCAUUUAUUUAAUCCAAUCUGCCAAUCCCUGCCUUUAAUUAGUGUUUUUAAACCAUUUACAUUUAAUGUAAUUAUUCAUAGUUUAAUCUGAUGUCUGUUAUUUUAUUUUUUGUCUUCU
rnacentral:lncRNA from 1 species